rnacentral:rRNA from 1 species
CCCCGUACUGCUGCUCAUACUCCAGGACUAUGGGACACUUUAGAGACACCGCCUGCGCUAAAGGAGGAAAGAAUGGGCAACGGUAGGUCAGUAUGCCCCGAAUACCCCGGGCUACACACGGGCUACAAUGGGUGGGAGACAGGGUAUCCACACCGAAAAGGGAAAGAAAUCUCCUAAAACCAUUCUUAAUUCGGAAUGAGGGCUGGAACCCCCCCUCAUGAAACUGGAAUCCGUAAUAAUCGCGUUUCAAAAAAGCGCGGUGAAAACCUCCCUGCCCUUGCACACGAAUUCCUGCAUACCCCAAAACCUUGACAAAAUUCCCAGUCCCUGCUCCUUGCACAA